ensembl:lncRNA
GAGUUUCUAAAAGAUUAGGGUUGCAUUAUAUAUGUUCUGAUGGUAUUAAAAAAAAAUAGAAGGAAGCUAAACUAAAACGUUUUAAUCCAUGGAAAAUGGCUUUUCCCACACAUGCUUUGGACAGAUGUUGAAAUCGUGUCACAGUUUAGAAUGAGACUGAAUUAAUUUUUUUUCCUAAUGAAACAAUACUUUCAUUUUUACAUGGCAGUUAUACAAUUUCAGUUUGUUCAUCAUAGAAUCAUGGAAUGGCCUGGAUUAAAAAGGACCACAAUGAUCAUCCACUUUCAACCACCUUGCUAUGUGCAGGGUUGCCAACCACCAGACCAGCCUGCCCAGAGACUGGUUUACACUGAACGUAGAUUGUGGUCAAAAUUUAACAAUUGGAAAGGUCCCUUCCAACCCAAGCCAUUCUGUGAUUCUAUGAUUCUUCAGAAUAAUCUUCAAUGAGUUAGAUCCGACUGUGAUUGCUGCAAAACUUAGUCAGUUAUUUUUAUUACAUGAUCAGUUUUCCUCAAAGCCUGUCUUCUGGGUAGAUUUUAAUACAUCUAAAUACCUUAAUAUUGUUUUCUCAAAGGAGGAAAACAUUCUAACUCAUCCUAGGGAUUAUAAAAGUAGUAAUUUUCUCACAGCUGGCCCUUAAUACAGCUAAUAGCUCUUGGCGUCACCUUAGGAUGGUUAACAAGGCCAUCAUUAACUGUGGUUAAUGAAAAAGUAAUUAAACUUUUUAAAAUCUAAUCCUGGAUGACAAAUCAUUAUAAAUCGUGCCCUUGGUUAUUCGUGUCACUAAUGUGAAUAAAUGAGUUUUAAGGUCUAUGUAUGCAUAAAACAAAACUGUAAGCAAACAUAGCAUGAAUCCUGCUGGUUGUCAAUAGCUAUUUUUUUUCAAUCGCUUUUAAUACUUCUUAAAAUGUCCAUGACUUUGGGUGUAAUUUUUUGAAGAUUUAAGAAGAAACCUUAACAUUUUCUGUGAGAAUCCCAAAAUCUGCUCUGGGAUUAUCCUCACUGACUUGGAAGAUCAUCAGCCAAACUGUGGAGAUUUGAAAGACGGAGGGCAGAGGUAUUGCAAAUCUAGCAAGACACAGUUCAGCAAAGCAACCUAACUGGAUUUCAACUCUUAUAAGCUGUCAAUAGAAACAGGAGACAGUAAAUUAAUAUAUAUUUUUUUUUCUGUUUUGAGUGCGCCUAAGAGAACUCAAUAAAGAAAUAGAAAUAGGAUCAAUACAUUCUGUCUGAAAAUCAGUUUAGAAGGAGCCACGGUGUCUCAAGGAGGAAACACUAACUAGUUAAAAAGCCUUUCACAAAACAAGUUAGAAACCUUCUGGUAAAUCCUUUGGAUGUUUCAGACAUACUGGCAUUAACUCAUAACCACCCAAACACUUCCCAUAUACGAUCAGUCCUAUUUAUGGCUUUUAGGUCAUAGAAUCACAGGAUCAUGAAGGUUGGGAAAGACCUCUCCGAUCCCCAAGCACAACCCCAGCCCACUCCACCAUGCCCACUGCCCACGUCCCUCAGUGCCAUAUCCAAAAUGGUUCUGGAGCACCCUCAGGGAUGGUGACCCCACCGUUCUCUGGGCAGCCUGUGCCACUGCAUCACAGCUCUUUGAGAGAAGAAAUGUUUCCUAAUACCCAACCUGCUGUCAGGCUGAUACUGCCAAAACUCUUGUUAUUACCGGUAAAAUCUGCUUUGUGCUGUCAGAGCACCCUGAGGAGCUUGGAGGGCUGGAGCAGGGCACAGCCCUCUCCUCACACCUGGAGUUGGAGCUGCCUGGGACCACCAGCCCCAUCCAUCUCGUACAAUUUCCCUCAGAUCCCUGGGGGGGCUGCACACACAGAGCCUUUCUGCUGAUGAGAAGAGAGGAUUUCCUUUAAAGUAACUCCUUCACACAAUGAGUUCUCUGCCCUUUCUUCAGGUGCUCUCAGUACUACCCAGGCUAUUCCUACUCCUCCUCUGGGGCCAGAGGACGUGACCUGCUUUCACUUUCUCUUUUCUCAUCUUUCUCCCCCUCCCAUAAGACUGCAGUGUGCUCUCUUUACAUUACUCCAAGGCCAAGAACAGCCCACUCUGGCUCACCUUGUGAUUCCUCAGACCACUUCCCUCGGAGAUGCUCCAUCUGUACUCCGUGCAUUCAGAUCUGUCACGCUGCAGGGUCACCUCCUUUGUGUGUCACGUUGUCCCCUUGACCGGGGUGCAGUCAUGCUUUAAGGUAAAGGCCGUUCUCAGUGAACUUUAGAGACCUAGAAGUUACUUAUGUGCAAAAGUUAUUCCUGUCGUCAAAAGCAAACGUAUUUCCUGCUUAUCCUUACUGCUGAAAAAAGCCCAGAUUGAUUUAUUUUCAGAUUCAGAAAUCAGUUUUGCAAGCAUGAGAAUGUGUAAUAGAGCAAUUACGGGCAUUCCCCCAAAGCUGCAUUUAAAAAAACCUCCCAUGAGGAGCGUUUCAUGUAUUUGACUUGGAAAUGCUUUUAUUUUUAUAAAUUCCUUUUUUGGAAGAGUGAUGCAAUACUAUCCAUAACGCAUAGUAUUGCUUUGAGAGGUCGUGUUCUGCAGCCAGCAUUGCUGCUGCUUGUGAUGGGAAGGCACCGAGGCAGUGUGAGCAAACUUUCUUGGUGACAUUCACAGCUUUGUAAAAAAAAGACAUUUAAACUGAUGAUUUUUUUUUUCAGCUGUAAUUUGGAAAAACCCUAAGAUGUAAUUAAAUCUGGUCACAACAUUUCCGUGAUUGAAGUGAUGGAUAACAGAUAGGUUAUGCUUAUCCCUGAUGUAACAGCAUUGUAGCAAACACUCCGUUUAUUGCAUUAUAUACGAUAUCAAGCAACGUUAGUCAUUCACAUAAAUAGCUCUGGUCUGAUUGAGUUUGAUUCCUUAUUAGGGAGAGUUCCACAGUGCAGAGUGUUGUACCAGUAAUAUAACACAGAAAUUGCUUCUAGCAUGUGGAACGUGCAAUUAUAAUAAGCAAAUAUUUAACUCAAACCAUGCUCUUGGGAUCACAGUGUCAAUAACAGAUAUAAAAAAACUAAUUGUUUCAUCAGCCCGAGGCGCAUGAGAAGGGGCUGGAGCCAAGGUGGGCUGCCGGGGCUGCCCUGCACGUGGAGCUUAGCUUAUGGGAAGGUGAUGAUUAAGGUGAUCAUAAAUGCAGGCUGGGAUUUGUUUUAUGAUCAAGAUAUUGAACACCAAAUUAAUAAGCAUCAAGUUAUGACAGUAAUAAAUGGCAAUGGCAUGGGAAUGGCGGAAGGAAAAGCUCGGACUGUCAGGCAGCUGCUUGCACACAGGUGUAACUGCUGCCUGGCUGCUGCUCUGGGAAGGAAAAAUGAUUUCUUUGCGACUUUCCCUUUUGUAUCCCUUCAACUGGGACAGUCGAGACCCAAAGAAGCCCUGACACAAAAUAAAGCUAAGAGCCAGAUUUCUGCUCCUUCAGAGCCUUCUGCCUUUCCCAGCGAGCUGACUGGUGCUGCAACGUGCUGCUAUUCAUCAGCAUUUUCAAGCAGGAGACAGACUCGUGAACUCUCAUUUUCUAUGGGAGAUUUCUUCUGGAGCCGGUGUUGCCAAGUGGUGAUUAGAUAAGAUGACACCCUGGGAAAUUCAAGAUGGAAUAAAAGCCCGAGCGGGUAUGCAGCCGAGCUGCAAGGCUAUCAGUCCUUAUUGAAGGGGCCUUCAUCUGGGACAUUCAGAGGGGCUCUUUUAAAAGCACCAGCUCACUAAUGAAGCUUAAUGGUUCUGAAUUGAUGGUACCUUGCAGCAGAAGCUGCUUAGAUGCUUAAUAAUGGCAUAAUCAUCGUCCGUCAGCCAUUUGGUUGGCACAGAAUGCUUAUGCCUGCAUUGUUCCAUUUAAGAUAGAUAUAUUUACAUUUACUGACAUUGCAUACUUUCAUAUCAUAUCCCUCUACAUGUAUCACAAUAUCCUUUGUUUUGAAGGUGGGGCUGCAGGGAUUUGGAUCAACUAACAUCAUGGGAAAUUUAGGAUGAACCAGAACUGGUGUGCCUUAUAGAAGUAGAACUGUUUUUUUCUGCCCCAAUUCCAGUGCUCUUUUAUGGAAAUCUAUCAUCACUUUGUAAGAGUUUGUGUGUCAGAAUGAAUUGAGUCAUUAAUCGCAAAUACAUCAAGUGAGAUCUUGGAAUACAAGAUGUAUAUGAAUGCAUGUGAAAACUGUUGAAGGAACGAAAAGAACAGAUAAAAUGAGGCAGCAUAGCAAUGAAAAACAUCGAAUAGGAAAAGUAACAAAAGAAGAUGCUAAAAAAAAAAUCAAAGAAAAGGCAACUAUCAUAUACAGAUAAAGGGGAGACAUAGUUAGAAUUAAAUGCGAGAUAUUCCGUAUGCUUUUAAAUACAUCAGUUACAGAAAGCUGCCAUAAGAUGACAUUGUACUGCAUUAUACUAAGCACACAGAUUUUAUGGGCCUUGCACUCCCAACAUCUGAUGUAGAACAUAAGUCCAAGCACAGUGCUGUGCAGUGGAACUGAAGGAUAAGGACCAUUGGGAAGAUAUGCUCUUUCAGACUUUCAGGUACUACUGGAUUUAUUUCACAUUUCUGAAUGGAUUGCAUGAAAGUAAAUUUAAAAAAAAUAGAAAAAUAUAUGGCACAAAUAAUGGGAUAUUCAGAUGGAUAAAAGCACCGUUGGAUCCCAUACUACUCUACCAGUGACUUUGAUGGUGAUGUAAUCUCAGAGAAAGCACUGAAUCAUGCUAUCAAUUAACUUGAGUAACAAUGUAUAUACACAGGAAGUUUUGCAUAGCAGACAAAUUUUAGUAUUUUGUGAAAAAAAAAAUGGUGAAGUGAUUGGAGGAUAUCUGUUAAUUAGCCAUACAACUUUUUGAACAUUCACCUAAAGAGAACCAAGAACAGUGUUAGCAACAAUGUGAUACAAAAUAAUUAGCUUGUUUUCAGGGCUUAAAUAGUCAUUACUUUCUUGUGAAGUCCCUAAUUAAGCUAAUCCUAGUUUAUAAUACAUUAGCAACCACUCUUUAUGUGGAAGCUACUUCUUAGAGGAUAAAAAUAACUUCAAAGUUUGACAUGCUCAAAAACGUAUGCAAAAAUGUAGAGCUCGGGACAGGAGAAAUACAGACGAAGAAAUUCCUGAUUUAUUCCUUGCUGCCCACGUGCUGUUUGUUCACCUGAAGGCUGCAGAUACAACUGCUUAAAGGCUCCAGUGAAACAAUUUCCCCCUUUCUGCUCUGAAAGCCUGUUACCACGGUUUUCUUAGGAGGUCCUGCUAUAACAUUACCCAAUUAUUUCCUAAGAACCGCAAAGGUAUUCUUUCUCACUGACUCACGCUCUAAUAGAUGAAGGACUCAUUUUCAGUUUGCUAUUUGACUUCAGUCAAAGGAAAAGAGCUGAUAAUACGAAGUUAACGUAACACAAAGCACAAACCCUGGGCUGCAGAACACAGUGGGCUCUGACCCUUAUCCACAGAGAAAAAAAAACAAAAGUGAAGAGGUAGAAAUAAGCUCUGUUUUGGGACUGGGAGGCCUGCACCUAGCUGCUGCCAUUUGUUCACAGUGGGCAGAAUUAGUGUCUUUCUCCAGCUUUGUGCUUUGCUUGCUAAUUUACCCACGGUCAAGUGGAGGCAAUGUUGAGUUACAAAGCCCCCAAAGACAUGCAGGAGUAAGUUCAUUUUAUGCAAGGUGAUGGAAUCAGCUGAUGUGGCAAAACCCAGCGCCAUGUGGCCUCCCAGCUGAAAGGAAUGAUUGAUUGAAAAAACUGCUGAAAACUUGGCCAGUGAAUGCUUCAAGGAGAUCAACAUGAAGCAGGGAAGGCUGGCUCUCCCUGCCCCUCAGAAUUACCACAACAAGGAGCCACGUCUCCCAUUUAAAAACAGAGCGGAACCUCUCACUUAAAUAAUUUGUAGAAGCUUUGCUAUCAGUUUAUGCUCAGAAACUAAAAACUGGGAAAGAUAACCACAGUGAGCACGAAAACACCUGAGAUCGACUUUAUAUACAGCAAGCUGCAGGAUUUCUACAAAACUAUUUAUCCAAACAUCUCACUGAAACUUGGGGCUGCCUCACCGCGUCAUGUAAUAUUCUGUCUGUUCCCCCUGCACUUACAUUCCUGGUACGGUAUCAAUAUUUCACAAACUCUUCUUACAUGGGCUGUUUAAUAUGUUGUAAGAGGCAAAACAUACAUGGUAUACGUAAGAGAAAGAGAUUUCCUGCCAAAGAUAUUUAACAGACCUAUGCAACCUAGCAAGAGGCAUAAAUCAAAACACAAGGACAUGCAAUACAAACAGUGUGAUAAUGGUGUUCAGCGAUGUGGCUGUGUGUAUAUAUAAUGCUUAUUUCGAAUUGCCCUCUGCUCUAUUAGUCAGUGUUAGAGCUCCUGAGCAGCUGGAACUCGGCUCCUUCAGUCUGCCCAGCUGGAAUUCAAAUAGUCCUUAUUACACAUUAUGUACGUUCUCACUGUCUCAUGCUUUUUUUUUUUAUUUUUAUUUUUUAUUUUUAUUUUAUAUUUGAGCAGAGCACAUUGAAGUUAGAAAAGAUUAAGUGGAAUUAAACAUGGAUGCCAUUUUGCAGAGACAUUCCUCAGAAGACACGCUCUUUUUUUUUUUCCCCCUAGAUUCUCCUUUAGCUGUGUUAGAUCUGACUGCAAAUGACAAUCUGUACACAGGAACCAGGCAUUUAUAUCCCUAUCAUCACUUAUUAACUGUUGAUAUUGUUGCUGACAGUGUAGCGAUAAUAAUAGGGGUUCUUUCAACACCUGGCCUCAAGAUGUAGUUUAUGACAUUCAAAAAAUAUCUCAAUGGAGCUGACAGGUGAAGGCAUGUUCAGAGGCAAUUCACACCAGGAGCAGUAUAUAAGUGCCAUACAAAGCUGACUGUGACCUUGAGAAGUCUUUGCCAGCCCUUAGGAGCUGACUUAGGCAUUCAGAAGCAAAGUCAUUUUCUCUUAAUAAGGUAUCACUGUCUCCAUCUGUAAAUCACUCUACAGCGUCAGCGUGUUGUAGUUCGUGUAGCAAAAUGACUAAUAGGAAAUAAUAGUGUUGCAAUAGAGAGUAUAAGGAGAGCUGUGAUUUGAGUGAAAAACACACUACUGGAAAGCCAGCUGUUCCCACUUCCCUGACUAAUUGAAGGCAUGAAGUGAAUGCACUGAUGUGCUGAUUUCCUCCAACUUGCAUAAGAUGCGAGGUUCUUCGAAGAGGCAGUAGGCUUCUAAAUGGUUUGGGCCUGAAUAAUGGAAAAUACCUUCAGCUUCCAAAAUUAUUGUUUUACAGACAACUGGAUGUGAGCCUUUCAGCGAGUACAUCAUCUGCAGUGCAAAUAAAUGGAUCCUGUCUCCACAUCUGCAUUUACAUGGUGUGCAGCACCUGUAUUCAUACCGUGGUCCACCACAGCCAUCUACAGGUCAAUGCACAGGGAUUCCUCAGCAGACACAGAUAUUUCAAUGGGAGAAGAUUGCUGUGAAGACCUGAAAAUUACUGAUGUAGUCUAAAGCAAGCCUAAUCUCUCCAGUAAAUUCACAUUCAUGGGACUUGAAAAGCAAUGAGUUGGGAGGGACCUUGGCUAGACAAGGGACAUCCAAGAUGUGGCCAAACGAGAAAUGGCAUCAGGAUGGUAUACAACUAUUUCUAUGUCCUGUGUUAAGACUGGAAAAACCAGCAGAUUAAUUCGUUUCCCCGUAAUUAAAUAAACAACACUCUCUACGUGGCUAUAUAGAAUAAACUAAAAUGAAGAAAGAACGUGUUGCGGAAAAUAUGGAGAAGUACAACUAGAGAAGUGCAACGUACUUCAGCAGAAUCCAGGCAUUAGCAUCUCCAAGGAGUCUUCUGGGCAGUGACAAUAGUGGGAUGCAGACCCAAGCUGGCCUGGAUUUACACCCUUGGUCCCCUGGAGAAAUCAUUGGGUGGUUGUUUAAAGCUGGUACAGCAUUGAAUACAGCAGAGGAGCCUUGACCUUUAUUUGUAAGCAUGGAAAUAAGGUAAGGAUGAAAGAUUGCUUUUCCUCCAGCUCAUAGGCAGGGAUCAGGAGGCCCUCCAGAGAAGCAGGGAGGUGGAAAGUCCCCAUUCAAUUUCUCUCCUCGCCUCCUUUCCCGUGCUGGCAGCAGAGGCCAGUAGUGCUAUGCAGAAGCCGUGCUCUACGGCAGCGAGAGGUGAAGGGAAGAAUCGCACAUGUUGCAGCUCCCUCGGGCUGCUGGAAGUAUAAGCAGUGAAUCAGCAGGGCUGAGGACCUGGCUGUUUUGACCCCAGCCCAGCUCUUUUUAGUCAAUUAGUUUAAGGCAAAUCCUUCCCUGGGGCUGGACACAGACACAAGCUCACCUGGUGCUUCAUGCUGUGCUGAUGCAACGAUGUAAGGUAUCGAUGUUCAUGGGCUACCUGAGGGCAAGAGUUGUGAGUGGUGCUGCAAUCUCUGCUGCUCGCAUUAUGACUCAGUGGUACCAAUAGGAUCUGUGUAGUGCAUCAGGGGAAGAAAGAGGACCCCUAACCCGAGGAAAUACAGGUAAUCUUAGAAUAGUCUUAUUUCCAUUAAAAGUGAUUUCAUCUAGAGUGUGCUGAGUGGCAAAUUUACCCAGGAGGUUUAACUUGCUUCUCUGUCUUCACAUUUUCAGAAGUUUAAUUUUAGUAAAUUUGUACUGUGCUCAAAAUAAACCAAGAGGUAGUUCCACAAACGGGUUCAAAUGCAGGAACUGCUGUUGUGAUGGAGCUCUGGAUGUCCCUUUCAGUACCAUCACCUGGCAUUUGAAAGCUUGUCAUGGUGCGUAUCAACCCUCAGGAGAUCUUCUGAUCUCCCCACGUUAUCACAGCUUCACACUGAAGUGGGUUCAUUGGAGAUACAGCACUGAAUGCAUUCUGCAUGCCAGACCCACAAAAUGUAGGCAGCGAUUGUACUGCUUCUUGUACGUGGUGCUGCAUUCACCCUACACAGUCAUUCCAUUCGCCAGCCCCCCUUUUCUGGCAGAAGUCAUUGCUGGAUCCCUGAAGUCCAGUGAAUUUGAAGAUCCACCAGGUCAUUAUCAUCUGUGGGCUGGAAAAGCUUCUUUUUGGAUAUUAAACAAUUAAAAGAGGGAAACCCUCCCCACACAAACCCAUCCCACAGCUCCCAACCUCCAUAGGCACAGCGCUGGCCUACCCAGCUGGCAGAGGGCCACGCUGUGUUGAGGGCGCAAACUUGGGUGAGGAUGCUGAGGAUCUGGUUGCCACUUCAGCCAAGAAAUGAAGAAGGAUUCACAGCACUUCUGUGGUGCAUUCUGGGUCUGUCUGCAUUUUCCAAGCAAAAAUUUAAUCAUGCAAAUAUUUACAGAAAUUUGAGAAAAAAAUAAAGACCAGUGAAAGCCGCCGCAGUGAACUUCUAAUUACAAAUCCACCAAGUGUUUAUGAAUAAAUUUAUCUAUUAUUUGUCUUGCUCUAGCACUGCGCAUACUUUGCCUUGUACCAUUACAGUCUGAAGGAAACAAUAUGCGGCAUGAAAAUGAAAACAAUUUGACUUAAUUAUUUAUACUAUUACCACCCUUUUGAAUUAAGCCCUCUAUUUCUUUGGUAUUUUGUAAAAUUUAACUGGUAAUUAUGCUUGUUUAAUUCAUUUAUUUCUCUAUUAAAAAAAAAAAAAGAAAAGAAAAAACCCUACCAGAAUGCAAAGUGCCACUGUGUUCUCAAAUUAUAAAUGAUUCUUUUAAGCUUUUAUGACAAAAAAAAAAUGUAGUAUUUUCUAUCACUUUGUUUAAAGCGUGUCUGGCUACGCUCCAACACUAUUUAAGUAUAAACAGGAAAAGCCUUGGAGGACAAGUAAUCAUACUUAAAUGACACAAAGAUCAUUAAAAUAAUGCUCAAAAACCACGGCAAAAUGAGACAUUGCAAGGCUGUUUUCUUCCUUGGAGUGUUUCACCAGAUGGUGAAGAGUGCUGAAAUAGAUUCGAGAGAGAAGCAAAGAGCAUUUCAUCAGCUGUCUCACACCAGUGCCGUGCAGCGCACACAGCCCUCAUCUGAGCUGGUGUGAAGUGGCAUCUCCUACCUCAGCCUCACCCAGCACUGAGAUAGGGAGAACACCGAGGUGCUGGAAUGAAGCUGUGCUGAAUCAUGGCCUGGGAAAUCCCUGCUUUGUCCUAUGGAAGUCACCGAGCAGAUUUAUUCGGAGAUGAGAACAAAUGAGCACGUCAGCAGAAGUUAUUGUGGCAAUUUGUGAAAGCCUUAAUGGAAUGUUUUCUGAGCUCACAGAGAAGAGCUGUGCCAUUAAAUUGCUGCACAAUAAUUUUACUUUGAUACUGGAAAGGCAUUUUGUUUUUUUUUUAAUCAGAAAUGACAGCCUAUAUCAGUGGUGACGCGUCAGCUACUGGUGUUUAAAUACAAGGGUCUCAGAAGUCAAUCUUCACUCACAUAAAGGAAAAAAAAUCAUGUUUCUAUACAUAUAGUUGCUGUAUGAAAUAUCUAAAAGUGAGAUACCUUUGCACUUUUAUCAGUGUCUCCAUUCUUGGCUGAAGAACUUUACAAAGACCUGUGGGAUUUGUAUUUCUUCCAAUGACAUUACCUUUUUGCAAACUUUGUCAGAAAUAUCAACAUAAUUUCUAAUUAUUAAUAAUAAUAAUAAAACUCUCUUAAAUUUUGUAGCUUAAAUAUAUACUGGAAAUCCUUUCCUCUUGGCUAGAGGCUUCUACUUUUAGGAACGUUGGUGAUCAAAAUGAGUGCUACUCAUCCAUCUGCGUUCUCCUGAACGUUUAAUCUCUGCAUUACAUGUAUUUUGUGGAAUCCUUAAAUGUACAAGACAAAGUAUUUGGAGGUCCUGAAAUCUUCACUGGGUUCUGCUAGCCUGUUACCAACCUGGCUCUUCCUAGAUCCCAAUGGAAAGGCCUGCUGUGCUCUAGGAGGUGGCCUUAACUGUACCAGAGCUGCAAAACCACAAUAGGCAGAAGAGGUGCCCUCUGAAAGAGAGGAUUUCAUAUCAGCUGAGUACAAGCGGCUGAGCCAAGCAGUUGGCAGAAGGAUGUCAGUGUAUUUCCAAGCUCCCUACCUUCCAGAAAGGUUGGGUUUCUCAACUGCUUCCUAACCAACAUGCCUGGCAAAUCCAGAUCCACAGGAAAACUCAUCUUUUGUAGAUAAAUCAGCCUGAAAUGGAAGGUGACUUCAUUUCCAAUUGGCAGGCAUUCUGGUUCCAUGCUGUGCAAGGAAACAGCCUCUCUAUAUUACAAGUGUCUUUGCAAUGAGUAAUCCUGAUGUCCUAAUAACAUCUUAUGCACAGCUCUUGAUAUACUUCCAUUAUAUAGAUCUAGAAACAAAAAAUGAAAUAAAAUCCCCCAACACUAUCAAUAUCUCCACAUUCAACGGGUGCUCAGAAGAGGACCUUGCAAACUGGAAAGGAUGAAUUUAAUUUUUGCAGUUCUUUUGCAAAGACCAGUUUGCAUCCAGCUUAUGCACUUAAGUAAAAAGCUUGUGUGUGGAGAGUUCUCACCAGUCUGUGUUAAAUGAGUUGCUGAUUUUAGCCCCCUUCCUUGAAGACAGCUGACCAUUAGAUACACGGAUACUGUAGGUGACAUUAACUCUGCCAUCAUCCUCAGGCAGCGGCACUGGGUCAGGAUGCAGAGUGUCCCAAAAUAUUACAAAUGGACUGUACCUCCAAAUGGCUGUGAUUGAUCCUCAAUGUUAUUUCCAAGCCAAAUAAUCUGGGAAAUCUGGGUGUUGGGAGCAAUUUGUGCCUCAGUUUCUCAUCUGUAAAACAGCAAUACAAGGACAUUUGGAAAACUUAUUUUUUUGCCCUAAAAUGGAUUCUUUUAUUUCUAGAAGGGUCCUUGGAGGAAUAUCAGGUCUUUCUGAUAGUUAUUUUCCAAAGAAAACCUAGCAAGAGCUGAUAGUUUCUGUCUUCAGCCAGGAAGCGGCUUUCUUCCUUGGUUUUAACUUAGUUAUGCCACCUGAACAGUGGCACGGAGGCCUCAAUGAGGAUCCUUGCUUUAUACUCAGAGAAGUCUCUGCGUUUGCACUGACUGCCAGAAGCUGCAGAUCUGGGGACUACAGCGCCAGUGAGGAGUUCUUCAAACUUGGCAAGAGUCCCAUUGUACAUUUAUUUUAUAUUCUACCUAAAUUCCAGGCAAAAUACCAUUUCUUGUACUUAAAUACUAAUGGUUUUGAGAGACGAUAAAAGCUUGAAUCAUACAGCAGGCAUAUCGAAUUCAAAUCUUUGAACGUGUUAUGCUGCUGAGAGCUCUGUCCCCAGUAGCCGGCAGAGGUUGCUCUGAUGUUAAUGAUUAAUCAGGGAACUUAUUUUCAGUAAUAAAGCACAAAUAUUUAAAUGAUUAAAUGACCUACGAGCCAGCAUUAUGAGGAAUGUGUUACAUGUGAGCAGCCUGCAAAGCAGCACUUCCCAGCUCAUGGACAACACACUGCCCGCUGAGCAAUGCCAGCACCUCUCUUGGCCACUACUGCUUCUCAGGAGGUGGUGGAAACUGGGAUUCCUCCUUGAGUAUAUAAACUGUGUCACGCCAGCCUUUAAAAAUCAGGUUGCUUUUUUUUUUUUUUUUUCUCCAGUGAGGAGUCCUGUUGAUUUUAAUUGGAUACUUGAGUUAAAAUAAGAGAUACAGCUUCUUUGCAUUUAUUUACUGAGUCUUUUUUUUUUUUCACUUUUCCAGCUAUUAAUUUCCUUAAAUGUAAAGUGACAUCUUUAAAAUGAAAAUGGCUUAUUGCUUGCCAGGAGCAAAGCCUGCCUAAUUUAAGAAAUCCAGAAUUAAAGCUUUUGAAGCAUAUCAGGGAGUGUUUAUACAACAAUUAUUGCAAACAUCAGCCUUGCUCAUUGCAGCCUCUUCAGGCCACCACCAAUGCCUCUAACUUCAUUGCCAACCUUCCCCACCCCAAGAUGUUUCAUCAGUUGCAUAAAAUCAGGUCAUUCUAUGAUUUUAUCCUUCUUAUCACCCCCCAAGCACUCAAACCCAAACCCAACCAACAAAUUGUUUAAAAUUAAGUAGUAGACUCAUUAUUAAUAACUGAUAGCAGAUGAAGGAGUGCAGUGACCUCUCCAACAGAGCAUUUAAAUCUUUGCACUACACGCUCUGCUUGUGCUAGGCUGGUUUCACAAACAACAGCUGUGUAGUUCGUUAGCAUAUGAAUCCCUCUGAGGUAAUUUGGAGGAGGCAAAUGUGCUAAACUAAACACCUCAUUAAAGCAGCACUUUAAAAAACAAAACAACAACAACAAAAAAUUUCCACCCAAGCCCCAAACUAAUUUCGUGUUCCACUUUUGCUUGUGGAGGUGCUUGGUGGUGAAUAUUCUGUUGUAUGGAAUUCAUUCAUCUGGGUUGCUGGAAAUAGGGGGUUUUUAAAUCACUAAUACGGGCUUUUCUCAGCUAAGAUGCACUUGAGACUAAAGUGUCUUUGAAGAGUGUUCUGUCACAAAGAAGCAAUUAACUGAGGACAAUAAUGUUUUCUUUUUCUCCCAGUCACUAAGCUGAACUCAUGGGCCCCAGGAUUGUACUCAAAUAGCAGGACCUGUUUCUGCUGGGGCUGAAGAGUGAGUGGAUGAGGCCAAAGGCUCUUGGUGGUCCCCAAGAGCAUAUCUGCAGAGGGUUUUGGAUGGGGCCAAGAAGAAGUGCUCACAAGUGUCCCCAGGACCACUGCAUCCCCCAGGAGAAUCUUGCAGAUAUUUUCAGGAAAUUCCUUUAUAACAAAUACGGCUACCAGAGGAACUGGUUGCAAGUCCAGGCAAUGAUGUAGGACAUUCAUGAUGGUACUAGCGUUGCUCUUCCUUCCCUUGGUCACACAGGCUGCAGGGUACUCAAACUUCAGUCCUAUUUUGGCACCACAAACAACUUUUUAUCCUACUUCAUCUCUACUAAUUUAUUAAAUCCUGAGUGAGACUGCAAGUCCAUUAAAAUAUUUAAAUGCUGUUUCACAUUUUGAUAAUGAUUUAAAAAACAAAUAAUGGGGAACUUUUUGUUCUUAGAAUCUUAUGGAACAACAGCACUUAUUCUAGCAGAAAAUGACAUUCUAAAUCUGAAUGGAUAACCUUUGCCCAGUGAGGUUGUGCAUGCCCCCGCCCUGGAAGCAUUCAAGCCAGGUUGGAUGGGAUUUUGAGUAACCUGGUGUAGAGGGAGGUGUCCCUGCUAUAAGAGGGGGGUUGGAACUAGAUGAUCUUAAAGGCCCCUUCCAACCCAAACUAUUCUAUGAAGUUAAAACAUUAGACCUGCUGGAUUGUGUGGUUUCAUCCAAAAAGCUCAUCUUACUGUUUCAUCCCAAUCUAUUUCAUUUUUCACAUGUCAGAUAAGACGUUAAGAAGCUAGAAGUGGUAGUUUAGAACUACCAUAACAAUGAUUUAACAUGGAUAAAUGCAACAUAAACUGUACAACGUCGUCAUGUAUGUAUACUCCAUAGUUUCUAUCUUCUCUUUUGAAUGUUUUGAUCCUGAAACAAAAGUAGGGAAUCUGAGUUUUGGGAGGAGUAAAAAGUAUCCCUGACCUACAAUCUUAUUUUCAAAGCAUGGCUUGGUAACCUCUUGGAAUUUCCUCAAGGUUUUGUAAAUAUUCUGCUGAGUUCUUUCAAGGUGUUAAUAUGUCAUCCAAAAACCAGAAAGUACUAUUUAUUCUCCACAGGACUCAAUCCAUUCUUCUUCGAAAUCCUGCAGGUAACCAGCUCCCCCCUAGGGUAAUCUCUCAUACUUCAGUAGGCACAUAAGUAUGUGUUAAUUUAGUCAGAAUUAGUGUUUCUUCUCCUUUCCUUCUCCCCUUCCCUUUCCACUUUUCCUGCUCUCUUUCCUUUUUUUCCUCCCCUUCCUUUUCCCUUUCCUUUCCUUAAAUUUUGUUUGCUAUGUUGCUGCCAGGCUUUGGACAAGUGAAGCCUGAAAAAAUCUAUUCCCUCUCUCAGUUUUGUAGGUAAACCCAUGGCUUGGGGAUUUUUAUAGGCACACUGAAUACAGAACUUCUACAUGUAAAAUUAUAUCCACAUUUUCAUCCCCUGUCCAUGUUUUCCUUGCAUGUUUUCAGUGCAAUUAUAUCUUUAAUAAUGGUGUAAUUGCAGAAAUCUUGCAGAAAAUACAAGACUUUAAGCAUUGCAACUGCAAUGUAGAUUUUUAUACUACAGAUUUAUUGGUGAAUAUUUUCUGUUGCAUUUGCAUAAAUACUAUUCCAGAAUAACAAGGUUUCAAAAUAUUUCUCUGUUUCAUUUAACUGGAAGGUCUGUGAUAUAGAGUUAUUUCAGAGAAUCAUAGGAUGUCUUGAGUUGGAAGGGACCCCAAGGAUCAUCAAGCUCCAACCACCCUGCCGCAGGCAGGGCUGCUAACCUCCAUAUCUAAUACUAGACCAGGCUGCCCAGGGCCCCAUCCAACCUGGCCUUGCACACCUCCAGGGAUUUCAUCUAAGAAUGCUUGUUUUUUAUUAUAUCUCUCUUUCAUUAUUACUUUUUUUUUUUUUUUUUAUGAAUAUAGUCCCCAGAAAACAGAUACAGACGACAAUAGUGAUCUUUGUGAAGAAGCAGCUUUGAAGCCCCCUUUACUUACCAGAAAACUAUCAUUCCAGAUCCUAAUAAAGCUCAGAGAUUCAGCUGAGCUCGCUGUACUGCAGCAAGCUUAAAUCACAGCUGAAGUGAAAAGAGAGAUUCAGAUUAUGUACUUCCAGAGAAGUGCCCAAGCUCACAGCAGUAAAUAAACACACCUACAAGAGAGAACAGUUUUUCUCCACUCAGCGUAUCCCCAGAUUUCCUUCUUCACUGCUACGUUACCCAUGUGGCAGAUCAGGGCAGAAUCACAAAAAAUUCCUACAUUUUUCUUGUGCCAUAAUAUCACCUCCACUUAUUCCUGUACCUGAUCACUUGUGAUUAAGGCCGAUGAGGAAGACUAGUUUCAAGGGAUGCAGAAAGUUUAGUCGUCCACACAAAACCAUAACGACUCUUCAUUUGUUUUAUACCCCAAGGACAGAUUUCUGCCUGUAGUCAGCAGCACUGAAGCACAUCUUACUCUCAACUGAUGGACUAAUCUGACUCUCUGAGCUACCUUGCCUUGCUCUGAAAACUGAGAUUGCAUGGGAAGAGUUUCUACCAUCUCCUGUACUUAACCAUGAUUCUCCCAACUCAUGUCACACCAAAUUUAACCGUCAACUCUAAGUAAAAUGGAUUAAAAGUCUCCAGAGAGUGAUGAUCUUCCAGAGGGAGAGGCUCCAGUGACUUUUGGAUUGCCAAAAAGAUGAAGACUUUUUUUGCCUCUUAUGAAAUUUGAAAAGAUCACCACUUUAUCUUAGGGCCAGGUCGUUUAAUUACAACGAUUUACCACUGAUAUUAAAACCAAACGUGAUAAUUAUUAAGAAAUAACUAACAAUUAAUAAAUGUAUUUUUAAAAUAACUAUGACCUUUCACCUUACAGAUCCAGAUUUAAUUAUUGGAAUACUUCCAUCUUUAGAAGAUUAAAAAUAUCAUUUUUCUGGUAGUCAGUAAGAUCCACUGUAUUGCCCAUAAAGAGCCAUGUCUCUGUUACUCAUUAAAUAGAAGUUUUAAAGAGUUUUUAAUUAAGGGAUGAACAAGUAAAUUCAGCCCAUAAGACAAGCAGGACAUGUAUAUGUGGAAUAAAACAAUAAAUAAAGAGAGGAUUAAAUACUUCCAAGUUGUUCAAUGAUGAAUUAAACAAAAGUCCAAAUACAAGAUUUCCUCACCCUUCCUGCUCAAGAUUUAUACCACUAAUCAGCCAAGUUUCAAAUCCUUAAUACAGUAAAGCAUUUGCCUUUAAGGCAGCAGCAAUUCAAGAUUGCUAGCAAAAUGAAUGUAUUUCCAUUAGGCAAAAUAAUUAGGUCAUAUAUUCUAACAGUAUCUUUGGACUUAAAUCUCUUUGGUGAAGGGAACUGUCAAUCACCUACAAUUCGAUCAACAAUCUUGGCCAGAAACCACCCCAUAUGUGGAAAGAAAAUUACAAGUGACUUUUCUGUCCCUUGCAUUUAUUCAAGGUCAUUCAUAAAAAAUAACAGUGAAAUGACAGGUUACAUUUUGUCCUACAAAUCUGGUGCUUUUUGAGGAAUAUAUUUGAAUACUACUUUAUGUUUAUUAAAGCCAGUAUGAGUACCUAUGCAAAUUAAAACUCUUCAAAUCUCCACAUCAGAAUGAACUCAUGCAUUUUAGUACAACUUUUCAGGGUGUUGCAGGUUUGUAACUGUGAGCACAGUAAAUCUUUACAGUCCAUGAUUACUUGGUUGUUGACUUUGAAGCCCUCAGUGCACAAGAGAUAUGCUUACAGAACAAACACUGAGCAUUUCUGCUUGGGCAUGCUUCAGAAUCCUUCCCUAGACAGAAGCUUAGCAGAAAGGGAGGGGAUCCAUUUAUUGCCUGGCUGGUGGGAUGGGGCAUUUGAAAAGACAAGGUGUGCCUAAUUGAACAGAAAUUUACAAUUACCUAGAAUAAAACCCCACCUCAUGCAACUAGGCACUUUAAAAUGUAUAGCUGUUUAUAUGCUUCUGCACAGCUCACUUGGAGAGUGAGCCUCAAUCCUUUAGACACUUGGGCUCAUUUUGCCACAUUUAUAAACCAUGUCAGGGGGUUGUAGCUAAUUAGGACCUGGCCUUGCAUCUCAUCAGAGGAUAUCACCUGCCGGUGACCCCCAAGCACCACUCUGAGCACCAGUGGUGUUGGGGUGAGAUCUGAAUGGCACACAUGAGAAGGGAAGUAUGAGGGAGGGCUGAGAAAACAUGCAGAACCACUGAUUUCUGUACAGGCCUCUGUGCACAGAGUGGCCAAUUAGCUAAUCACUAUUUUGCCUUCCUAUCAGAGCGGUAAAUGGAGUCACUGCAGAAUUGCUGGUGAAUAAGCCAAUGAGCACAGCUGAGCCACUGACGGACACUGAACUCUCAAAUAUCAGGGUCAUAAAACAAGGUUUUACCUUGGCUGUUGCGGUUGUAAAGCGCUGUUUGAAGAUGGCAAAUCCCCCUCUUGUUGCUGUCACAGUUCUGUUCUUCCGAUCUUCAAAUUGCAGCCUGCACAUCACCCUCCUGUGCAAGUCCAUAGGCCAUGACCCACAGCUGCUUCUGCAGUCCCACUGCUAUAGCUGCAUCAAGUAGGAAUACCAUAGGAGAUUAAUAUAACCAUAAUCACAUCUGUAAUUGCCCAUACAGGCUUGGUUAAAGCUAAUAACAGUGUGCCUACCUCUGGUGAAAUCACAUCUUCAUUUUCCUGCAGAGGCACACUUGGACAUAUUCGUACAACGAAGUCCUGGGGUGUGGGCUGCUUUGCAACAUAGAGCUGUGCUAGGUAGAAUGAUCAGUGAGCAAAAAAGAAUGCAUAAGGAAAAUCCAUCAUGUGCUCUAUCAAGUUAUCAGGAGAUUUGUGCAGAAAAGCAAACCCGUGAUGUGGCCUCCCCAUCUAGCUCUGGACUAUUUACCCUGCUGAUGAGAAAAGGCUAUUAAAUACAGAGCCUGAUAUUCUGUUACUAAUAGGGAUCCCACUUAUCUAAUUGAAAGGAAAUUGUGGGAAAGCACCACUAGAGGUCACUCAAAAUUAAUUGUUACCCAAUUAGCACAAUUUGACCCUAAAGUUCAAGACGCUCUACAGCUUUCUUGUUUAAAGUACUAUCAAUUUUGACUCUUGACUGUGAGAAAACUCAGAACAGUUGGAGACAGAAAAUGUUUUAUCAGUUCUCCCCUCAUUCAAAGGUUCCUAAAUUAGCUUUGCCUUUCUCUCUGCCAGCAGCAAAUCAUUUCUUCCUCAGCAAUGAGCUUACAGAUGCUGGCAGUGAUGGACCUCUAGAAGCAUUGUUUUUAGAGGAAUUCAGACCUAGCUGUGUUAUCUCAAGCACCUGGUCACCCAUUUUGAAAAUUAGACCAAAAUGAAUUGUACAAGUGAGGGAAUAUAUAGGAAAACAACAACAACAACAACAACAACAAAAACCAACAAAAACCUUUCCAGGAUAAAAGCCUUUUCUUUUUUUUUUUUUCUUUUUUUUUUUUUAGAUAUACAUAUACAUAGAAAAUUAUAACCACUGUUGCAUGGAAGAAUGAGUACAUGUUUUUAUAACAACUGCUUGACUAAGUAAAAGAGGUUAAAAGCAAAGUUAAAGUUUGAUUAAUGGGUAUGUGUUGAAAUAUCUCUGCGUGUAUUUAAUUAAAAGCAGAUGUUCUAUUUGCAGGGCUUUUGCCACAAUCUGUGGUAAUGAUGAUAGCAAUUUAUUUGCCAAACCCAACAGGAAAAGAAAUAUCUAAUUAGUGUGCUCUAUAAGAUUAAGCCUACUAACCACUGGUGCACAUGCAUACAUCUCCUGAUGUUAUCAGGAGUCCUCCCAGUGCUCAGUAUGUAAUUCAUGGUCCUACAUAGACCAGAGUGAGGAAACAUUCCCUUCCAGUGCAGCUUGGUGUGGGAAAACUCAUGGGCAGCCACACUUCCAUGAAUGAUGCUCUAUCAGUGCUCUUAUUUCAUUCCUCAUUUCAGGUUACUGAUGAUCCUCUUAUUCUCCCCACCCCUCACUUUCAGCUUAAUGGAUAAAGGGGAGGAUUAGCUACUCAGCUUAUCAAUAUGUAUGAACAUGACAAUAGGAAAGAUUGUGGUAGUUUCUUGAAAUAUCCUUUAAUAACCUCACAAGGCCAGCCAAGGAAGGAUGCAUGGCAUCAGUGCAGCUGCAGAAAAAAACGCUAAAGCAUCAUAACAUGGGCAAGUAAUUUAUGAGGCUCUAGUCUCCUAAUUGUUUCAUCAAGGUGAUAAAUAAAUAAAUAGAUCAUCAGCAUCUGAAGAGCUGUAUGGCUUCCUUCUCUGCUUUCUAGAGAGAUUAAUCUUGCAGAGGUAGAAAGACAGUUUGCCACAAAAUCAUACUCAUAGGCUCAACAAAUGGAAUUUGGAUGUAAUUAUCAUUUUUUAAAAUGGUGAGCCACCAUCUACUUUUCUGCACAGCAAGACAGUGAAGUCAAGGAAAAUUACUCUGCAUUUAUUCUCUCCCUUAAAAUCUGUAGCAACUGAAUAAUAAGAGCUACUGCUUCAAGGUGUUCAAAUAUCCCAGGCUUCCCUCAUCUGCACAUACUGCUUCUGUGCUGGUGGCAGUGAAAGUCUUGCAACAUUCAGUCACACCUGCCUAUUCAUCAGGACAAAUUUCACUGUUUGGUGGCUACAUUACUCCCUCUCCCGCAGUACUUAGCUGGGCUUGGACUACGCAGUUAGUCCUCACCACAAAGAUUCAAGAUACUCAUGUGUUCUUGUUAUAAAAGGGGAUGGAUACAGAGAAAUAAGGGCUGUUUUACAGAAAUCCUAACUAAAACCCAACAUUAUCAGAGCUUUCCCUUCAGAAAACCUCUGCCGUUGGAACUCUUCCUCUAAAAUGAGUAAAAGUGCCAUUGAAUAUAGUCACUUACUCUUGAACGUGCACAGAAAACAUUACUGAGUGCUUCUCAUGCAACAAAGCAUACAUUUUGAAAAUCACAGAAAAAUAAGACAGCGAGCAGCUGAAGCUGUAAGGCUGAGGCAGAGAAAUGGAGGGAAAGAAAACACACUGAAGAAGAGGCAGAGUUACUACAGAAGGCCAACAGCUAAAGAUUCUUACUAGAGAAAAUAAAAAUCAGGUAGGCUCAGGUAGAGAGCCCUUUCCUUUCAUUUGCAAGGAAAAUCACAGCUUUUGAUAUGCAAAGAAUUAUAGAAUUUGAUAAGACUUGAAGGUGAGCUACCUAGAGCCAGCAGUUGCCCAGCUGGUUUGCCACAGGGCAAUUUUUGCUAAUUACAUAUCUCUCAUUCCCUGAUCAGUCCAUUCUUCCACCCAUUAUUGCCCUAGCAGCUACUGUGGGAUAUUCUCAGAUAGAACAAAUAAUUUCCUAUUUUGGUCAAAAACAAAGGUUAUUCAGCAAUAGAGGAAAGCAAGGUUUCUACCCAGCUGCCACAACGCAUUUCCAAGAGCUCGUCUUCCCCCCAAAAACCCACCUUUUACUCUGCAUGCCUCACCAUCCAAAAGCUGAUCUCCAGGUUAUGUCAUCUAAUACAUAGCAGCCACAGUUUUCCUCUCAAUCCCCUGUAUAAACUUAACCCAAUAAUUAGAAAGUAGGGGGAAAAAAAUGUCAAAUUUUCUUUUCUUGCUGAAAAAACACAUGCACGGAUGCUUCUUUCACCAAAUAUUUACACUGAGCCUUCAAUGACACCAUUCCUUUUAUCAAACUCUAAUUUUAAAAGCAUUUAGCACAGAGGAGUAAAUGUAGGUUUUCUACGUGGGGUUAAAAUCUUCAUAGGGGUUUAAAACCACUGCCUACACAGUGGGCUUUAGGUGCUCUGAUUUUUGCAAUAGUGCUCAAGCAUUGCUUCAAAAUGACUACUGAAAGCUGGGGGAAAUCAAAUAAUUCUGAUGUAUUAGCUGAAUUAUAAAGCAGUAACAGAGGGCACUGUAAUUGAAUGUAUGGAGAUGAUGAACAUUUGAACUCACACAGCAUAAGUCUUUUAUUUUAAAAUAAUCCAUAAACUGCUUUAGCAAUUCUCUAAAAGCAUAUAAAGAUACAGACAAUUCAUUUAAAAUGGCACUUUCAAUACAGUCUAAAAUCACAGAUUUUAAAAUGAUAAAAAAAUAUAUAUGUGUGAUACUAAAAAUAUUCAGUGCUUCUGAAUUAAAGCAUUUUUUCACUGGCUCUGCUAUAGUGAUUUCUGUUGCUUAUAUCUUGAUUUUCCUUGGGAAAUUGCAGCCAGAACUACUCCGAGCUCAUAGUUCUGGUCUAUUCAUAGAAUCAUAAAAUGGGUUGGGUUGGAAGGGACCUCAAGGAUCACCAAGCUCCAACCCCCCUGGCAGCAGGCAGGGCCUCCAACCUCCUCAUUUAAUACUAGACCAGGCUGCCCAGGGCCCCAUCCAACCUGGCCUAAACCUAUUCCCAGUGAAGAGGUUCAAAUAUGCGAAGGAAUCCUGUCUUUUAAAGAAUUGUUUUUGAUAGAAGGCUCUUAAAUGAACCAAUUAUCAGAGUGUAUUUCCUAUCUAAGCUGAAAUGCAAGAAGGCCCAGCUAGAAGUAAAACAGAUGUAGGAAAUCACUGUUGCAAAACUCAAUAUAAAACCUUAAGAAAAUUGGAGGAUUUGGCCAAAUCUCUUGAGUAGCGUGUUGGACCAGCGCAGCCUUACCAUUGGUAAUCCUAAGCUCCAAGUGUGUGCCUGAGUGGCCCGAUCAGGAUUCCCUGUGUGUGACAUGGGACACUGGGGACAUCCUCACUUCAUCUGUUGGGUGCUGAAGUUGGCCAGGAUCUUUUGCACUUUGCCUUGGUUGCGCUUACCACAAUGAGCUCAUUAGCUGCAUGCACAAAUCCCAGCAUGCGCAGCCACUCACCCAGCUCUGCCUGCUUUGUGUCCUGCAGGAAAUUCAGAAGGGAAUUGUUUCAAGAGGGUGUGCUGUGAUCGCUGUUUCUUCUGGUGUCACACUGAAAGGAAUACAAGAUUUUAGGCCAAGCCAUAAUGGUUGCAGUGGAGAGCUCCUGGAAGCGCAUGGUUUCUGCGUGCCGAUUUCUGCUGCCAUCAGACACAUGGUAAAUCCUGAAACUGCUGCAGGUUGGAAGCUGUCCCAGGCAGGGCACAAAAGGGAGACUGGGAAUCACAGGCUGGAAUCAAAACCCCUACAUUUAGUGACAAAUCUUGGACAGAAACUCAAGCCUCAGAAGACAGAGGAGCUCUGCUGGUAUUAUCUGGUAAUGUGAAGCUAACUACAGAUAAGAAGGCUCUCUGUGUCCAGAAAAGAAGCCAUUGGAUUGGAUUAUAUCAGACUGAGACAUGAAGGAUUAGUGAACAGGCAGCCUGACAGCACUGCUUUGUUUGUUACAUGCAUCCAAACCAGCGUGUUUGUAAAUGAAACGUGCAAUUUGGAGAUGAGUCAUUAAGGAUGGCUUUGGGGAUGUCUGGAUGCCCAGAGCUGGGGUUUUGACACCUGUGAACCUGUAAAGAUGCAAUUUUUCUUUUUCAAAUCCUUUGUAACAUCUUCCUUAAUCUUUUGCACAAUUCUCCUCCCAGACCUGGAAGUCUGAAUGGAAACGACAACUUGCUCCUCUUCUGGCUAACUAGGACCAGAGCACAGAAGUUUCCCAAGGGAAAAAAUGAUGAGCUGGCUUCCCCCACAUCUGUUCUGUUUGUCUCCAUUUUUGCUCUUUUACUGUCUAAUCUGCUCUACUGAACUGCCAAUCAUCUCCCGGGGAUGCUUUCUCUGCUUGACAGCCAGUAAGGCCAUCUGAUUUCAGGCCUCCCUGAGUGUGUGUGCUUGCAGGCCCUGGGGCUGAGAUGCACAGUCUGGAGGCUGGGCCUGGGCAGAAGGUGGCUGCUCAAAGAGUGCCCUGCAGUGAUUCCCACCUUCAUUACCACUGUGCAGCUGUUUCAGAGCUCAGAGAGGUUCAAGGAUAAUGGAGGAGCAUUGCCCUCCUUCUGCUGACCUAUUUCCCCACCUUGCUCAGCUCUGGAAGAGCUGGUGGCCAACUUGCCUCUGGCUCACCUCCAUCAACUCCAUUUAUUUCAGGAUGUUAGGUUGCUGCACGUGAAACUCUCAGUGAUGGAGAGAUCACAUGACUUUCCUUUACUCAGAGACAUGAUUUUAUCUUAUCAGCCACUGUGUCAGAUUUUCAUACUUUAUUCUAUAAUGGUGGGUGAGCGUGGGCCCCUACAGUUCCCAGAAUUCAGCAGCUUUAUAAGAAGAAAAUAACUGGACAGAACAAAUUCCCUUUAACUUCAGUGAAAAUGGGCCCAGACUGAUAAUUCUGAGGUAGAGAGAUUCGAAGCACCUAUUCUUUGCUGUUUUAUUUUUUAAAGUAUUUUAUUCUGAAGCAGCGGAUGUUACUUUCAUGGCAGGAAGCAUUAUAAGAACACUAAAAGGGUUAGGAACUUAGCUAGACCUGAGGAGAUUUAAAAGCCCUAUUCCUCUGUACAGCUCUAUCAUACCACAUUUCCUUCUCCAUCCCAUAAAACACUAACUUCUAUAAUUGCCUAAUUCUCGUACAUUUGCAAAGUAAUCAAUAGAAUGAAAAAGCUUCUGUUCAUGUGCCUCGGGAAUGCUGAUAUUACAUAAAAAUAGGUGCAAAUCAAACAUACGUCUCAAGCUCCUAAAGUGACAUGGAGCCACAUUCAAUUCCUGCACUACAAGCUACUGAGGCUACAAAAUGUAGUAGAAAUGCAGAGCACAAAGGAGAAGCAUGCCAGCCUCUUUAGAAAGCUGUGCCUAUCAUUGGCAAUGGCUGGUUGGCAUUCAUGUCUCUCAGUCCUUUGACUGAUUUGUUUCUGAGGUGUAACGGCUGCCUACGGGUUGUACCUACACUAGUGAAUCCAAUGUGACACACAGCCAGAACAUUGCAGUACACUGCUUCUUGUACUAAUAAAUAUUUAAGCAUGCAACCUAAGUGCUUCUUCAGCAUCAGUUCCUUCUCUGCUGCAAGUGACAUAUAACAACUAGCAAACCACUGUUUAAAAAGGAAAAUAAAAAAGGCCACUGACAAGCUUCUGAUGAUGGAUAAUGGAUGGAUCGUUUUUUGUUUGUAAAGUUUUGUUUUUGUUAAAUAAAGUUCCACGAGCCUUUUGUGUGUGGAGUUUGAUCCUGUGUGUGUACUUACAGGCUAACAAUAAGAAAAUGGAGAAAAAAGUUGGCUGCUGGCCACAGUUCGAGACUGUUAUUGAUGAAACCCAAGGGUAAUUUUGUGUAGGAAAGGGAAGAAAACUGUGUCAGCCUUUCAGCGAUGGAACACACUUCUCCCUCUCUCCCCAUUUGGUCUCACAAGAGAGACUUACCCAGUGCGGACCCCAGCGAUGCUCAUUAGCAGAAUGGCCUGGAUCCAAACAGCAGUGCCAAUCUAUUUUAUAAGCUUGCCUUGCCUCGUCAGUCCAGUGACUCUGGAAUGAGCAAUAACAGCUUUAGCAGAAAUCCUGAAAAUAAUAUUUAUAUAGCUACAUGACAAACAGGCAUGGGCAGAAUGCAUUUUAUAAAACAGUCAAUGUUAAUUGCUUCCAAGUAUCUAGAGAUUACUCUACCUGAAAAUAUUUUAAAAUUAGAGACAAAGAGAAGAAAAAUUCAGUCACUAUUCAAAAGAAAUUAAAAGGAGAGACAUACAUAAUGUCAGGAGUUGAUUUUAAAACUUCCUACUAGGCUGUGUUGGUUUUCCUGGCUGGAUAGUCCUCUGAUUGAGUCAAACAGGGCACAGAUUUGAGAUAAUUAAUUAAGUUCUUUACAAGGAGAGUAGUGAGGUGCUGAAACAGGCUGCCCACAGAAGUUGUGGAUGCCCCAUCCCUGGAGGUGUUCAAGGCCAGGUUGGAUGGGGCCCUGGGCAACCUGGUCUAGUAAAUGGGGAGGUUGGUACGGGGGUUGGAGAUCCAUGAUCCUCGAGAUCCCAUCCAACCCAGGCCAUUCUGUGAUUCUGUGAAUAUUUUCACCUAGAAUCUCAAAUGCUUACUGAGAACUUUCUACUUCGUAAAUUAGCAAUUGAGGAUGGGGUGAAAAAAAAUGGAAAUGACUUCUUUCUCUAGAAGAAAAGUGGGAUUUCUUCCUCCAUCCUCAAUUCCCCAGUGAGAUUUGUCUUUGGCUUCCAUGAACAUUUUCUCUGAGUUCAGAGAAAGCCAGUGGUGUAGAAGUCAUUGUAUCUAUUGUUGUGCAUACUCUUUUCUUCCUCUCAAGAAAACUCCUCAAUCAGAGCAGAAAUCCUAAGGCCAGUUUUUGAGUUGCAAGUGAUAAGAAAGAAGAAAACAAAGCAAUGUCUUUCAUACUAAAGGACUUUACCCAUCUUCAUUUAGCAUGCCAGAAAAUGCUGACUGGUUGAGCCGGAACUCCCACUGUAGGUUUUAAUCUCAUUUUCUCUGAAUACCUGUUUAUUUUUCUCAACUGGAAGAAUAAAAUUAACAAAUGUAAAUAUACAUUCCCAUCUCUGAACUGCAGAAUGGAGUUAGCUUGGGGAAGGGUUGGGAACAGACACUAUCAAGUCUUUGUGGAAAAAGAACAGCCAUUCAAAAUUCACAGUUUCAGUUCAUAAGAGAUACGAGUCCAUUCUGUUUCAUUAUAAACUAGAAGAGAUUUUUCACUGGGAUCCCAGAAGAAAACAGAAAACAAGAAGAUGCAGGAGAGAUUCAGAACAACUGCGAUUUCACAUAGUGUAAUUAAUUCUGCAGGCAUGCAGAAGACAAGGAAAUACAGGAAGGAAAAGAUCCACAGGAAAUUUAUUCCACAGAAAUAUACCUUCUCUUUAAUGGAAUCCAUAUUUGACUUUCAAAAUAUUUUUCUGUUUUUGCACUAGGCUUACUUUGCUAAUGAGUUUACCCUGAGAAUUACCCUUCCACUGUAACCGAGAGAGGUCUAUGCACAGAAACCCUCAAGGAUCUCACUUCGCUUUCAUAUCACAAUAGAUAUGGGGAUACGGGGGGCUCUCAUAGGUGGGGCAAGUAAGAUAUAACUCUGAACUUCAGCCUUGAGCAGUGCAGAAGCAGUGUUUUCGUCUACAACUCAGAAAGGAUAUGUGCCACCAGAAAUGUAAAUUUAUAAUUAAAUGCAAGAUUUAAUUUGGUCAACCCAUGGAGUGGAGUUACUAUUCAGAAGGGCUGUUAUUUCAGAGGGUGAUAUAAGAGUUUUGAAUAUUAUUGUCCUCCUCCAUGUUAUGAAAUGCAUGCGUCUCAGCGUGCUGUCUAAGAGCCCUCCCAGCUGUUUCCAAAGAGCAGCUAUUAUCAUCUGCAGGUUAAGAAGACAAAAAAGGCAAAAUAAUAGUUGUGCUAUGCCAGAUGAACUCACAGUCAAUAGUCCACAAAGAAGUAAUUUAUGUAGACAUAUCGACAUUACAAAUUUUCAAUGUCCUCUUCAAAAAGGCACUCGUUCUGUAUUUCCAUCAUUUCUGAAUGACAGAGGUCUCUGAUUCCCAAGAAAAUGCAAAAGGACCUUGAAAUAAAAUGAUGCCAUAAUGACUUACAGUGAUACACUCCUCCCAAGUUUUCAGGACAAUUAUAUGCUUAUUACUUUGGAAGAGUUAGAAAACAAGCA